rnacentral:rRNA from 1 species
UACGUUCCCGGGCCUUGUACACACCGCCCGUCACGUCACGAAAGUCGGUAACACCCGAAGCCGGUGGCCCAACCCUUGUGGAGGGAGCCGUCGAAGGUGGGAUUGGCGAUUGGGACG